rnacentral:rRNA from 1 species
GCUUUUGGAUAACCUAGUGGCGGACGGGUGAGUAACGCGUGAGUAACCUGCCUUUCAGAGGGGAAUAACAAUCUGAAAAGAUUGCUAAUACCGCAUAACAUCUAAUUGUCGCAUGGCAGAUAGAUCAAAGGAGCAAUCCGCUGAGAGAUGGACUCGCGUCCGAUUAACUAGUUGGAGGGGUAACGGCCCACCAAGGUGACGAUCGGUAGCCGGACUGAGAGGUUGAACGGCCACAUUGGGACUGAGACACGGCCCAGACUCCUACGGGAGGCAGCAGUGGGGGAUAUUGCACAAUGGGGGAAACCCUGAUGCAGCAACGCCGCGUGUGGGAAGAAGGUUUUCGGAUUGUAAACCACUGUUCUUAGCGAAGAAACAAAUGACGGUAACUAAGAAGAAAGCUCCGGCUAACUACGUGCCAGCAGCCGCGGUAAUACGUAGGGAGCGAGCGUUGUCCGGAUUUACUGGGUGUAAAGGGUGCGUAGGCGGGCCCGCAAGUCAGACGUGAAAGCCACAGGCUCAACCUGUGAAUUGCGUUUGAAACUGUGGGUCUUGAGUGAAGUAGAGGUAGGCGGAAUUCCCGGUGUAGCGGUGAAAUGCGUAGAGAUC